rnacentral:sRNA from 12 species
GCGGGCUUGGAUUUAUGAUGCUGUGGGCCCGCAUCAGCGCGUCUAAGCUGGUGAUCACGGGGAUCUUUGCACGCCAGCAAGUAUAGCCGCGUCUGCUUAAAGUAGGCCGCCAGAGGAAGCUCGCAUCGCUUCUGGUGCUCCGAAUUUCAUAUAGCAGCACGCGCCGCGCGCUUCAAAGGGGUGAGUCGUGUUGGACGGCUCAGAAAGCGCGGAACGCCA